AGGGGUGCUACCGGGUGACCGGAUGCCGAUCUCGAAAACCUGUCCCAGUUCGGACUGGAGUCUGCAACCCGACUCCACGAAGUUGGAUUCGCUAGUAAUCGCGCAUCAGCCAUGGCGCGGUGAAUACGUUCCCGGGCCUUGUACACACCGCCCGUCAAGCCAUGGGAGCCGGGGGCGCCUGAAGUCCGGGACCGCGAGGACCGGCCUAGGGCGAAACUGGUGACUGGGGCUAAGUCGUAACAAGGUACC
rnacentral:rRNA from 1 species